rnacentral:rRNA from 1 species
GGGUCCGUAGGUGGACAAAUAAGUCAGAGGUGAAAUCCUGCAGCUCAACUGUAGAACUGCCUUUGAUACUGUUUGUCUUGAGUUAUUAUGAAGUGGUUAGAAUGUGUAGUGUAGCGGUGAAAUGCAUAGAUAUUACACAGAAUACCGAUUGCGAAGGCAGAUCACUAAUAAUUAACUGACGCUCAGGGACGAAAGCGUGGGUAGCGAACAGGAUUAGAUACCCCGGUAGUCCACGCCGUAAACGAUGGAUACUAGCUGUAUGUCUACUUCAGGUAGAUGUGUGGCCAAGCGAAAGUGAUAAGUAUCCCACCUGGGGAGUACGAUCGCAAGAUUGAAACUCAAAGGAAUUGACGGGGGCCCGCACAAGCGGUGGAGCAUGUGGUUUAAUUCGAUGCAACGCGAAGAACCUUACCUACUCUUGACAUACUAGAAACUUUUCAGAGAUGAAUUGGUGCCUUCGGGAAUCUAGAUACAGGUGCUGCAUGGCU